ACUUUGUCAGACAGCACCCGCAGACAGUUGGUUAACAUGCUUGUUGCCGACAUGAUUGAAGCUCAUGGAAUAACUCCUCCACAAACUGCGGACUAAGUAUGCUCUAGGUAUUGUCACUUUGUUUCUUAACCUGGAGGACCCAUAUUCUAAAAACGGCUAUGCAAGUGCUUUUUUUCAGAUUAUACAGGAGCACUUCUACGAUGCGUCUAGCGGCACUGGGUACCU